rnacentral:rRNA from 1 species
ACGGGGGGUGCAAGCGUUGUCCGGAAUCAUUGGGCGUAAAGCGUUCGUAGGCUGUAUGCCAAGUCUGGUGUUAAAGCCCGGGGCUCAACUCCGGAUCAGCACUGGAUACUGGCAAACUAGAAUAUGGUAGAGGUAAAGGGAAUUCCUGGUGUAGCGGUGAAAUGCGUAGAUAUCAGGAGGAACACCGGUGGCGAAGGCGCUCUACUGGGACAUUAUUGACGCUGAGAAGCGAAAGCGUGGGGAGCAAAUAG